rnacentral:tRNA from 1 species
GCCUCCGUAGCUCAGUGGACACGGGGCCGAAAUGCCUCGGAUAGAGCGCCGGGUUUCUACCCCGGGCGACAGGGGUUCGAAUCCUCUCGGAGGUA